rnacentral:tRNA from 1 species
GGCCCGUUAGCUCAGUUGGUUAGAGCGUCGUGCUAAUAACGCGAAGGUCGUGGGUUCAAUCCCCCCAUGAGCCA